CAGCAGCCACGGGAAUACGUAGGGUGCAAGCGUUAAUCGGAAUUACUGGGCGUAAAGCGUACGCAGGCGGUUCUAUAAGACAGAUGUGAAAUUCCCGGGCUCAACCUGGGAACUGCAUUUGUGACUGUAGAGCUGGAGUGCGGCAGAGGGGGAUGGAAUUCCGCGUGUAGCAGUGAAAUGCGUAGAUAUGCGGAGGAACACCGAUGGCGACGGCAAUCCCCUGGGCCUGCACUGACGCUCAUGCACGAAAGCGUGGGGAGCAAACAGGAUUAGAUACCCGCGUAGUCCCUGUCUCUUAUAC
rnacentral:rRNA from 1 species